ensembl:lncRNA
GUGUUCCAUAGCGUUUGAGUGGACAGCGGAGACCUGACGUUAGCACAUAGCUCAUUAGGAGUGAAUUUGAGAUUGACUUUUUACUUCACUUAAACAAAUUAACCAACAUACACAGGAUUCUUCUAGAAAGUAUUUGUGCCACUUUUCAAGUGCAGAAAGUCCUAAUUGAAAAUUAAGACAUUAAUAUUUCACUUUUCUAUUUGUUCUGCAUUGCAGCUGCAACAAGAAAAAAAGCUACAUAUGCCAUGCCGUCAGAGACAGGGAAUAUUAACAGCUUGAGCAUGUCUCUUAUGAAGAAACAUUGAGGAAGCUGGGCUUGUUCAGCUUGGAGAAGACAAGGCUCCAGGAGACCUCACUGCUUCUUUCUGGUACUUGAAGGGAACUUACAGGGUAAUAAAGAAUACCAUGAGAAAAGCUCCCAAAGGAGAUUGAGUUUGGAAUCUAAGCAGAAGGGAGUAUUCCAUGUCCUGUUCCCUUUUCACUGAGUGCAGCAGAAAAAGAGUCAUCUUCUUCCUCUUGAUCUAUAUGGGUCUUCCCUUUUAAUUCCAGCAGACUUUAAAAAAAUACAAGUACCUUCCAUGAGAGUAAAAUCUUGAUAAAUCAAGAUAAAUAACAG